AGUAUUUAUAUUUUCUGCUACUUCAUACGCCGACGUUACCGUAUUUUAUAGGCAAAUAUACUUUUUUUUAUCCCAUAUCUUUUCAUUUUUUGUUAUACUUUCAUCAAUGUAUUUUAUUGAUGAAUUUUACUAAUAUAAUUAUGAGCCUCACUGGUCGUCCACAACAUUUCACACCAUGUUUCGAUAAAGGAAACGAAACGAAACAAACAAAAACUAGUAACAAAGAAAGAAAGAAAGAAGAUAAAAACAACCGAAGAAAAAGACAUGACGUUUAUUUUGAAGUACUUCCGGGUCACGGUGACCUUUUUACAAACCGGCUGCUGUGUCAACACCCUUCUCCCUCCCCUCCCGGACCAGGAGGGUUUUGCAGGACAUCACCAUGCUUCGACGAGCUGGAUUUGUAAGCAAUAUUAACUUCUUUAUGUUUAGUUUUGUGUCAGCCUCUUUAAGAAAAGCUCCGAAUGUGUUCAUGCAAAAACCAUGAUCGUGUUGUGGACACUGGAGACAAGCAGACUGGCAAAACUGCCAUUGCUAUCAACACAAUCAUCAACCAGAAGCGCUUCAAUGAUGGCACUGAUGAGAAGGAAAAGCUGUACUGCAUCUAUGUCGCUAUCGGCCAGAAGAGAUCCACAGUGGCUCAGCUGGUCAAGAGGCUGACUGAUGCUGAUGCCAUGAAAUACACCAGUGUAGUGUCUGCUAUUGCCUCUGAUGCUGCUCCGUUGUAGUACCUGGCUCUCUAUUCUGGCUGCUCCAUGGGAGUAAGCAGGCCCUCGUCAUCUAUGAUGAUCUGUCCAAGCAGGUGAAGUUUUUUUUAUUUAUUAUUUAAUCUGAUGUUUGAGGUAGUGACGAAGAAAUGAAACUCUGUUGAGAGCUGCUCAGAUGAAUGACAACUUUGGCGGUGGCUCCCUCACAGCUCUUCCCAUUAGUGAGACACAGGCUGGUGAUGUGUCAGUCUACAUUCCCAUUAAUGUCAUCUCCAUCACAGAUGGAGUGGUAAGUGUGUGAAUUUUUGUCUUCAACCCAAUUCAAAUCUGGAACCCAUAUCUUAAGUGCUGUUUUCUCACUCGGAUCUUUUUGGAGACUUUGCUAUUCUACAAAGGUAUUCACCUAGUGAUUAACGUCUGUCUGUCAGUGUCACAUGUUGGAUCUGCUGCCCAGACCAGGGCCGUGAAGCAGGUUAGUGCUGCUUGUACUCCCACAUCUUCCAGCUGGUAUAGUGAUGAAUGUCUUUCUUGCUGAUGUAGUGAUUCCUGUCAGUCAUCCGGUGGCAGGUACCAUGGAGCUGGAGCUGGCCCAGUACCAUGAGCUGGCUGCUUUUGCUCAGUUUGCUUCUGGAUGCUGCCAUUCAGCAACUUCUGCACUGUGGUGUUUGUCUGAGCUCCUCAAAUAGGGGCAGUACUCUCCCAUAGCUAUUGAAGAGCAGGUAGCAGUCAUUUAUGCUGGUGUGAGGGGACACCUGGACAAAAUGGAGCUAGGCAAGAUCACCAAGUUUGAGAA